rnacentral:lncRNA from 10 species
ACUCUUUCUACACAAGUUUAUUAGGCACCUGCUGGGUAUCACGUGUGGAGACAAGCUGGACAACGUAACAAUCCGCAAGGCAGCUACGGCCUUGCCCUGGAGCUCCCAGUCUAGCAGGGGUGGAAAACAGGUAAGCCCCCCAGCGGAAGCCCCAGACCUGGCAUGCUGUGAGGUCGGGGAAGGAGCGGGGGCUUUCCCGAGGAGGCGUCAGUGAGGGUGGAGAGAGCCUCCGGAAGGGGAGCGGGCACCGGCGAGGAUGGCACCGCAUCCUGCAGGUGCUCGUGGCUGAGGGUGGGAGGUAGGUAAAACUCCCGGCAGUGGGGACCCACGGGAGACUGUGGCAGAGGCGCGGCACGGCGAGUUCACCAUUCCCCAGUGCCCGGCCGCCCCAGGGGACUCAGCAGCUGACAUGACAGGGGCCCCUCUUGUAUCGACUGUCCUGUCUCCACUCCUGGCACACAGCUGCGGGUGCAGCGCUCUUCAGAGCCCUUCAGGAGAGCCUCCACCCAACCCUCUGAAUUAGGCACAACAGGAUUGAGGGGGGGCCCUCUGGAAGGGUCCUUUCUCCUCACCUCCCACAUGAGGCUGGGCCUGAUUUCACAAUUUCACUCAGGAUCUUCCCUCCUCAAUCCUCCCAGCCCUGUCCCAUCUCAGUGGUCUGUGCUAACAGUGUUUUGUGUGGGGCCCUGGGAGAAGAGUCCAUGAACCACUGCCUAACUCAAGUGCUGCCACGGUGAAGCACCCCUGCC